UGAUUGGUCGGUGCCUGUACCAUAUACCAGU
rnacentral:piRNA from 1 species